rnacentral:rRNA from 1 species
UACCAGCUCUCCGAGUGGUAGGGAUGAUUAUUGGGCUUAAAGCGUCCGUAGCCGGCUUAGCAAAGUCUCCUGUUAAAUUCAGCGACCUAAUCGUUGAGCCGCGGGAGAUACUACUAGGCUAGGAGGCGGGAGAGGUCGACGGUACUUCUGGGGUAGGGGUGAAAUCCUAUAAUCCCGGGAGGACCACCAGUGGCGAAGGCUGUCGACUAGAACGCGCUCGACGGUGAGGGACGAAAGCUGGGGGAGCGAACCGGAUUAGAUACCCGGGUAGUCCCAGCUGUAAACGAUGCGGGCUAGGUGUUGGGGUGGCUACGUGCCACUUCAGUGCCGCAGGGAAGCCAUUAAGCCCGCCGCCUGGGGAGUACGGCCGCAAGGCUGAAACUUAAGGAUUGGGCGGGGAGCACCACAAGGCGUGAAGCUUGCGGUUC